rnacentral:lncRNA from 1 species
UUACAUGAGAAGUGUAAUCAGAAGCGCUAAUUUGAAACUUUUAUUUUUAGUGUAAUAUAAAAUACAAGGUGCGUCAAAAUGAAAAAAAAGAAAAUAUUAAGACUUUCAAAUAGCUUUAUUCAAUUUGUAUUUAUGUAAUAAUUCCGACUAGGCCAAACCACAAUCCAAAUAUUUUAUUAAAAUAGGGAAAACUUCAAAUACUCCCCCUGUGGUUUCGCACUUUCUCACUUUACUACCCUGUGGUUUAAAGUGUAUCAAAUUAGUACCCUGUGGUUUCGCACUUUCUUACUUUAGUACCAUAUGGUUUCAAGUGUAUCAAGUCAAUACCCUGUGGUUUCGCACUUACUCACUUUAGUACCCUGUGAUUUAAUAUUUUAUUAAAUUAUAUACUCUGAAAUGAAUAAUAAUAAUAAUAAUAAUAAUCACAGGGUACUAACUUGAUACAAAAAUAAAACCAUAUGGUACUAACUUGAUACACUUAAAACCACAGGUACUAAAGUGAGAAAGUGCGAAAUUACAGGGUACUAACUUGAUACACUUUAAACCACAGGGUACUAAAAUGAAAAAGUGCGAAACCGGGUAUUUGAAGUUUCCCCAUUAAAAUAUAACACUUUUAGAAAA